AACGUAGGAGACGAGCGUUAUCCGGAAUUACUGGGCGUAAAGCGCGUGUAGGCGGUUGAGUCAGUUCGUCGUGAAAGCUUCCGGCUAAACUGGAAGAGGUCGAUGGAUACUGCUCGGCUGGAGUGCGGGAGAGGCAGGUGGAAUUCCGGGUGUAGUGGUGAAAUGCGUAGAGAUCCGGAGGAACACCAGUGGCGAAGGCGGCCUGCUGGUCCGCAACUGACGCUGAGACGCGAAAGCAUGGGGAGCGAACGGG
rnacentral:rRNA from 1 species